UACGGAGGGUGCAAGCGUUGUUCGGAAUUAUUGGGCGUAAAGCGCUCGUAGGUUGCUUUGUAAGUCUGAUGUGAAAGCCCGGGGCUCAACCCCGGAAGUGCAUUGGAAGCUGGAUAGCUUGAGUACGGGAGAGGGUAGUGGAAUUUCGAGUGUAGGGGUGAAAUCCGUAGAUAUUCGAAGGAACACCGGUGGCGAAGGCGGCUACCUGGACCGAUACUGACGCUGAGACGCGAAAGCGUGGGGAGCAAAC
rnacentral:rRNA from 2 species